rnacentral:lncRNA from 1 species
CACAAACUAAAUGGAAGAAAGAUUUAACAGUAAUAUAUACAUGAUUUAAAAUACUUUUUUUUUAUUUUAUCAGACGGGAUGAUUCGUUUCAUCAGUUAUCAGAAAUUACAAACAGAGUAGAACACCGGGCAUAUUCGUUUUCUACCUAGCGAUAAAUACGCCAAAUUGAGUGCCAUUCAUGGGUAUGGACAAUAUGUCAAUCCCAGUGCCUACAACAACAGAUUUGAAUAUAGAAACCAAAAAUGUUUGAAUUUCAUUUGGACUUAUAUACAGUUUGCUUCGCAAGUAAACUAUCUACCUUACAAUCAUACCACGAAGCUGAGAAGGAAUGGUGAAUGGUCUCCUGGAAGUGCGGUUACAGUCGAAGGUGAGACUCCGGUAGAAAAUAUCAUAAAAUGUUAUCAAGUAUGGUGGUCGCUUUUUAAUCGGCGGUAAAAUGAAUAUUUACUUUAGAAUUUGAAUCAAAUAAAAGAA